rnacentral:misc_RNA from 1 species
GAUGAAGAACGCAGCGAAAUGCGAUAAGUAAUGUGAAUUGCAGAAUUCAGUGAAUCAUCGAAUCUUUGAACGCACAUUGCGCCCGCCAGUAUUCUGGCGGGCAUGCCUGUUCGAGCGUCAUUUCAACCAUCAAGCCCCAGGCUUGUGUUGGGGACCUGCGGCUGCCGCAGGCCCUGAAAACCAGUGGCGGGCUCGCUGUCACACCGGGCGUAGUAGAUUUUAUCUCGCUCAGGGCGUGCUGUGGGUUCCGGCCGUUAAAAAGCCUUUUUUACCCAAGGUUGACCUCGGAUCAGGUAGGAAGACCCGCUGAACUUAAGCAUAUCAAUAAGCGGAGGA